ACAACGCCAACCUUAGUGCCAAGAAGUUCAACUUAUUUCUGUCUGUAUAUAAAAUGCCCUGGAUCUUAUGUAUGCAGGACUAAAGAGGUCACAUGGUGCUGUAAUGCCUCAUGUAGCUACAAUACUGUAAUGCACUGUCCCUGAAUUAGGUCACCCCCACCCCACCUAUCCCUUCUCUCUUCACAGCAGAUGGAGCAACAAACCCAAAUGAUGUCCCUGUGCUACUCUGUUUCUGCUCCUCUGUGCUAAUCCGUCUGGGACACACAUUUUAUGCACUAUGACAGCCUAGAGUCAUUGAACAGAAAGUUGGAUGUUAGAGACAACGUGUCCCCCUGACUGGACUCCUUUGAUGAGGGUGUCAGCGGUCAGUGGAACCCAGCGGUGGCCUCUCUCCUCAUCAGAGCCGGGGCUGAUGUCAACACCAGGACAAGGAUGGGAAGACGCCACUUAUGAGGACCUGAGCCCUAGUACCAUGCCUCUGGACUACCUGACAUGAUGACGCCUUGCUGUCCCCAGUCCACCUGGCCGUGCUGCUGCUCCAGUUUCAAUUGUUCUGCCUUAUUAUUAUUCGACCAUGCUGGGCUGGGUUUCUGUACAGCACUUUGAGAUAUCAGCCGAUGUACGAAGGUCUAUAUUUGAUUUGAUUUGAUUUUGAUUUGCAAACUCAUCGAGACUCAUGGUACAAACUCAUCGAGAUACAACAACUUUGUCUGCUUGGUGGCCGUGUUGAACCCCCACGAGUUGCUGGUGCAGUUGUUGUUGUACAGGGCCGACCACGAUGUGAAGAACGAGGUAAUGACAAGUAACAGCAUGGGUUCUGUUUCGAUUAGAGCAAUUGAAAUCAUUCUGGAAUUGACUGAUAUUUUUGUCUUUGCAGUUUGGGCCAGGGGCAGCUGAAAUAGCAAGGGCCUUUGGGAGAGACGUAAUGCUUUCUCCAUAAACAUUACGGUUGCAUUGUACAGUAUGUUACUGUUAUAGUGAAUAUAUGAGCAAGUGUUGUUUAUUAUUUUUUCCCUACAGAAUUUCAUCAGUUUAUUAGAAGGACAGAAGAGUAUCGUCAGAGAUGGUACAGUCCAUUAGUAAAGGGCUUAGGUGGACAGCGUCAUUUCCCCCCCUAAUUUCUAAAAGCUUUAUUAUUGUUGCUUAUUUUUUUAACACAUUAUAUGUAUGUAUCUAAACCUGCAUUUUUACCUGGAUAUUUGUUUUGCGUAACAAAAGUUUUAACUGUAUGAGAUUUUUAUGGAUAAAUGAAAUAAUAAACCAUCAAGAAUAACCUCAAGACACAAAGGAUUGACUUGGUUUCGCUUUACUGUACAGAUGUCUGAUAAAACCUCAUCCUACGAGAGGGAGACACAUUUCACUUUGCUGUGCGGAUGAGUCAUGUAUUAUUAUUUGUAAUGUGUUUGUGUUAAGUCUUCUGCCUACAUUCGCCUGGACAGUCAGCAAAAUAAACGCAUUUAA